UACGGAGGGUGCAAGCGUUACUCGGAAUCACUGGGCGUAAAGGGUGCGUAGGUGGAUUAUCAAGUCUCUUGUGAAAUCUAAUAGCUUAACUAUUAAAUUGCUUGGGAAACUGAUAGUCUAGAGUAGGGGAGAGGCAGAUGGAACUCUUGGUGUAGGAGUAAAAUCCGUAGAUAUCAAGAAGAAUACCUAUUGCGAAAGCGAUCUGCUAGAACCUAACUGACACUGAUGCACGAAAGCGUGGGGAGCAAACAGG
rnacentral:rRNA from 2 species